AGAACGAACGCUGGCGGCAGGCUUAACACAUGCAAGUCGAACGCUCGUAGCAAUACGGGAGUGGCAGACGGGUGAGUAACGCGUGGGAACAUACCCUCCGGUUCGGAAUAGCUCAGGGGAAACUUGGAUUAAUACCGGAUACGGCUGAGAGGCGAAAGAUUUAUCGCCGGAGGAUUGGCCCGCGUUCGAUUAGCUUGUUGGUGAGGUAACGGCUCACCAAGGCGAUGAUCGAUAG
rnacentral:rRNA from 1 species